rnacentral:rRNA from 1 species
CCCUUAGACGUUCUGGGCCGCACGCGCGCUACACUGACGAAUGCAACGAGCUUAUAACCUUGGCCGAAAGGUCUGGGUAAUCUCCAAAUUUCGUCGUGAUGGGGAUAGAUUAUUGCAAUUAUUAAUCUUCAACGAGGAAUGCCUAGUAAGCGCAAGUCAUCAGCUUGCGUUGAUUACGUCCCUGCCCUUUGUACACACCGCCCGUCGCUCCUACCGAUUGAAUGGUCCGGUGAAAUCUCGGGACGGCGGCUUGGUCGCUUGCGUCCGACUGCUGAAACUUGAUUAAACCAUNUNAUUUAGNGGAAGGUGAANUCGUANCA